rnacentral:rRNA from 1 species
UACGUAGGGACCAAGCGUUGUUCGGAUUUACUGGGCGUAAAGGGCGCGUAGGCGGCGUGACAAGUCACUUGUGAAAUCUCCGGGCUUAACUCGGAACGGCCAAGUGAUACUGCUGUGCUAGAGUGCAGAAGGGGCAAUCGGAAUUCUUGGUGUGGCGGUGAAAUGCGUAGACAUCAAGAGGAACACCUGAGGUGAAGACGGGUUGCUGGGCUGACACUGACGCUGAGGCGCGAAAGCCAGGGGAGCAAACGGG